rnacentral:rRNA from 1 species
UACAGAGGUCUCAAGCGUUGCUCGGAAUUAUUGGGCGUAAAGCGCACGUAGGCGGCUUUGUAAGUUAGAGGUGAAAGCCCGGGGCUCAACUCCGGAACUGCCUUUAAGACUGCAUCGCUUGAAUCCAGGAGAGGUGAGUGGAAUUCCGAGUGUAGAGGUGAAAUUCGUAGAUAUUCGGAAGAACACCAGUGGCGAAGGCGGCUCACUGGACUGGUAUUGACGCUGAGGUGCGAAAGCCAGGGGAGCGAACAGG